AUUGAACGCUGGCGGCAGGCCUAACACAUGCAAGUCGAACGGUAACAGAAAGCAGCUUGCUGCUUUGCUGACGAGUGGCGGACGGGUGAGUAAUGUCUGGGAAACUGCCUGAUGGAGGGGGAUAACUACUGGAAACGGUAGCUAAUACCGCAUAACGUCGCAAGACCAAAGAGGGGGACCUUCGGGCCUCUUGCCAUCGGAUGUGCCCAGAUGGGAUUAGCUAGUAGGUGGGGUAACGGCUCACCUAGGCGACGAUCCCUAGCUGGUCUGAGAGGAUGACCAGCCACACUGGAACUGAGACACGGUCCAGACUCCUACGGGAGGCAGCAGUGGGGAAUAUUGCACAAUGGGCGCAAGCCUGAUGCAGCCAUGCCGCGUGUAUGAAGAAGGCCUUCGGGUUGUAAAGUACUUUCAGCGGGGUGGAAGGGAGUAAAGUUAAUACCUUUGCUCAUUGACGUUACCCGCAGAAGAAGCACCGGCUAACUCCGUG
rnacentral:rRNA from 1 species